rnacentral:pre_miRNA from 2 species
CAACUCUCAUCCUACAUCGUUGGAUCGAGAAAUGGACAUCCAAGAUUCGUUCACGUCACCAUAAGUUAAAAUUUAACUCGCAGAUUCACUCAUGAGUUAAAAUUUACUGGGAGUUAUGAUGACCUGGACGAAUCUCGGACGUCAAUUUCUCGAUCCAACGGUGUAGGAUGAGAGUUG